rnacentral:rRNA from 1 species
ACUCUGAGCGGUGGAUCACUCGGCUCGCGGAUCGAUGAAGAGCGCAGCAAAGCGCGUUAGCUACUGCGAACUGCAGGAUUACUUGAGCAGCAAGAGCUUGAACGCAAAUUGCGGCUCUGGGUACUCCCAGAGUCACGUUCGCUUGAGGGUCGAAU